GAGCAGCGUCCGUUGGACUGUACGGAACGGAAUAGAGCAAAAUUAACUUUUGGCUUCAAAGUAUAAUCCCAUAUCACUUUCCCCCAGAUUCCAUCAUUUUCUCUCUCAGUUUUCCCGGGAAAGUCCUCCACCAUUAAGCUCCAACAAAACCCAUAUCAGCUCUCCAAAGAAAGUUCUUCAAUUUAUGCCUCGAGGGUCAGUAUUGGUGGUUGUAAUUACUGAUUUAUUGAUAUUUGGGCGUCUGAUGAUGCCACCGAGAAGAAAGAAAUGGACUGAAGCAGAAGAGAAAACCCUAAUUGAGAAAUACGGUGAGAUGGUCUCUGAUGGGACACUUGCCAAAAUGAAAACUAGAGAAAAGAAAUAUAAACCCAUUGCUCUGUAUGUGAAUUAUGUGCAUCAUGUUCGUGAUCCUAUUACUUACCCUUGGCAAUGGACAUGGAAAGAUGUGUCCACUAAGGUGCAAAAUAUGAGACAUCAAUACUUGCUUGUUAAGCAAAAGAUCAAGAAGCCUGAGCUCUCUGCAGUGGUAGAGAAUUCAGGUGGCGGAGAGGGUACUAAUAAUGCAGAUGAGUUUGAUUGGGUGGAAGGGCUGACUCAUUGGUCGAAUUUUUUGCUAUACAAGGAAGUUUUCGGGGAUGUUCCGAUAGCAUAUACUUCUAAUGGUAGUAAUGGGAAUGAUUUGACUGGCGUCUUAAAUGAGGAUAGGGAAAAUGCUGCGGGGUUGUUGGGGGUUGGUAGAGGAAUUGAGAUUGGGGAGUUUGGACAGUUGGGUAAUUCAGCUGAUGGCGAUUUUGUGGGGAUUGAUGGAGGUGAAGAUGGGAUGCUGGGUUUGGGGUUUGAUUAUGAAGGAGAAGAGGCAGAGGAGAAUUAUAACAGUAAUGAGCGCGUAAGAGAGGAAGGGGAUGAUGGCUUCAUGUAUGAAGAAGUAGAUGUGAAUGUGUCUAAUUUGAGGAAGAAGAGGAAGGUGUUGAAGGGAUUGGAGAAGAGGGUUCUUCGGUUCCUUUCAAACCAAAUAGGACAGUUGAGGGAAAUGGAGGCUCGGUUUGAGCAACAUGAAGUUGAGAGAGAGCGGGAGAGGCAGAGGAGGGAGAAUAUUCGAAUUGAGAGGGAGCAAGAAUGGGAACGGAAGCUGGAAGAGAGGGAAGAAAGAGAAAAGGCUAGGGAAAAGUUGAGGUGGCAAAGAUAUCAAGAAUGGGAAGCCAUGGAAAAGGAGAGUGAAGAGAGGGAUCAAAGAAGACGAGAAGAAGAGUUGAUUCACGAAAAAGAAUGGGAAGAGAGGACAAAAAGGAGGAGAUUAGAUUGGAAGAAGAGGAUUGAUGGGAUGUUAAAUCAACACCGAGUAGAAAUGGGGCAGAUACAAACGCGUAUUCUUCAUGAGCAACAGAACCUUACUAGCCAAUUUCUUGGGAUUGUUUCACAAUGGACAGGUCAUCCAACUGGGCUCUCUGAUCAUACUAGUGCUAGUAAUCAUUAUCUUUCACAAAUGAUGCAGAAUUUGCACCAUGUGAAUAUGGUACAUGAAGAUGCCAGAGUUGAUGGAGAUACUCAAGAUGAUCAAUUUAUAGUUGAUGGAUGAUGUCUUCUCUCAGCACCAUCAUCUGCUUUGUAAGCUUAAAUAACAAGGAGAUAUGCUAGGAUGUUUCUGUUGGUGACAAGGUGUAAAGUUGAAGCUUGGCAAACUCAGGAUUUGAGAUUAAAGAAAUCCAUGUUUUGCAUACGCAUUUAAAUCGGAUGAGAGGCUUGACUGGCACCCUUGAGAGUAUUUCUGUGAUGAGAUCCUGGGGUAACUUGGACAUGAAUUUGAUUUGAUUUAUUUUCUGCUUGAGUUUGGUGCUUUUCUUUUUUCUUUCUAUGUCAUCUCAGGAAAGUAUAAAUGUAUGGAGUAUUUAUUCGGUCCUGGCAAGACUUUUCAAACAUAUUGAUAAACAUGACUUCUUACCCAAAUUGAGCUAGUCAAGUUUCUAAUCGUUCAUAGACUUGGAAAAGUUGAAUAUUUACAAGUGAACGAGUCAAUCUUCUUUGGGAAAUUAUUAUUCUUUUCAAGAAUUCGGCAGAAAAGAAAGAAAAAAAGCCUGCUGGACUGUCACCAUUCUUUCACAUCCUUUCCACCGCAGACACAUGGCAUAACCCGCAGAUCACUCAAUCUUGAGAACCAAAAUUUGAAUAAGUAACUACACAAUCGGCAGGGACGGUUGGAGCAAGCAUCGGCAAGGAGGAAUAUAGCACAGGGCAGCGGAUGCCAUGGACAACUUUUCAGUCCUAAAAUUAUACAAGGGAAAAAAGAAAAAACUCUGUGGUAGUAAUUUCUUUUAAUUUAAGCUAUAUGUUAAUUUUUUUAGACAAAUAAAGGUAUGUGCAUACCUCGA